rnacentral:lncRNA from 1 species
CUCGCCUGCAGAACUUGCCCCUAAUUAAAAUCUAUAGAGUUAAACUUGUUCUCUUCAAUGUUGAUCUCCUUUAAAAUUUUCUCCUCAAUGCAGAUUUUCUGUAAACUUUUCUCUUCAAUGCAGAUUUUCUGUAAACUUUUCUCUUCAAUGUAGAUUUUCUUUUAACUUUUUUCUUCAAUGCAGAUCUCUUUUAAAGUUUCUGUUCAAUGUAGACCUCCAUCCAUGUAAUAUCAAAUCUAC